rnacentral:misc_RNA from 1 species
AGCAGCCGCGGUAAUUCCAGCUCCAAUAGCGUAUAUUAAAGUUGUUGCAGUUAAAAAGCUCGUAGUUGAAUUUCGGGGUUAGUAGGUUGGUCAUGCCUCUGGUAUGUACUGGUCUCACUGAUUCCUCCUUCCUGAUGAACCUUAAUGCCAUUUAUUUGGUGUUUUGGGGAAUUUGGACUGUUACUUUGAAAAAUUAGAGUGUUUAAAGCAAGCUAACGCUUGAAUACAUUAGCAUGGAAUAAUGAAAUAGGACGUUCGAUCCUAUUUUGUUGGUUUCUAGGAUUGACGUAAUGAUUAAUAGGGAUAGUUGGGGGCAUUAGUAUUCAAUUGUCAGAGGUGAAAUUCUUGGAUUUAUUGAAGACUAACUACUGCGAAAGCAUUUGCCAAGGAUGUUUUCAUUAAUCAAGAACGAAAGUUAAGGGGAUCGAAGACGAUCAGAUACCGUCGUAGUCUUAACCAUAAACUAUGCCGACUAGGGAUCGGGAUGAUGUUAAUUUUUAAUGUACUCAUUCGGCGCCUU